AGGAUGAAGAUUGAGAAAAGGACAUCAGAUUUGAGGAGAGCAGUUUUAGCUGAGUGAUGAGAUCAGAAGCCAAAUGAGGAGGGAUGUAGGAGUGAGGAGGGAAGAGGGAGGAGGAAGGAAGUCAGGGAGUGGAAGAGAGAGAGAGGUGUUUCUCGGAGGACAUUGCAUGCAUGGGGGAAUGGCCUGUACACAGGCACACAGGAGGAAAGGAUAGUGCCAUUUUCAGGGAACUAGGCUAGUUUGGUUGGAAUAUGCUAUAAUGAGCUGUAAAGUGCUCUAGGGAUUCUAAGGAAGGUGAAAUCACUGAGCACUGCAUUGAAGCCAGAUUGUGUUCCUAUGUGGGAGCAAAAACUGAUUUUGACUGAAAGCUUAUGAACACAAGAUCCUUUGAACUGGGAAUGCUUUGGGUGAACUAGAAAUACUCCAUUGGAGUCAUGGAAGAUGGGUCCCCUGCUGAACUCUUCAGAAGUCAACCAUUCACCCCAACACCCCUUCUCUGGUGCAUUUUACUUCAUAUGCUCUGGGAUAAUCAAGAUUACAAGAAGAAAAUGUUAUGUAAUUGCAGCUUAUAAUAUCUUAGAUAAGAAACCUUUGAUUUGAUAUGAAUAGUUUCAGAAAGUAAUAAAUCUAACAAUAAGAUUUUAUAAAGCA
rnacentral:lncRNA from 1 species